rnacentral:tRNA from 1 species
GCCGCCGUGGCUCAGUUCGGUAGAGCGGCUGGCUGUUAACCAGUUGGUCGUAGGUUCAAAUCCUACCGGCGGCGCCA